rnacentral:rRNA from 1 species
ACUCCUGCGGGAGGCAGCAGUGGGGAAUUUUGGACAAUGGGCGAAAGCCUGAUCCAGCAAUGCCGCGUGUGUGAAGAAGGCCUUCGGGUUGUAAAGCACUUUUGUCCGGAAAGAAAUCCUUGGCUCUAAUACAGUCGGGGGAUGACGGUACCGGAAGAAUAAGCACCGGCUAACUACGUGCCAGCAGCCGCGGUAAUACGUAGGGUGCGAGCGUUAAUCGGAAUUACUGGGCGUAAAGCGUGCGCAGGCGGUUUGCUAAGACCGAUGUGAAAUCCCCGGGCUCAACCUGGGAACUGCAUUGGUGACUGGCAGGCUAGAGUAUGGCAGAGGGGGGUAGAAUUCCACGUGUAGCAGUGAAAGGCGUAGAGAUGUGGAGGAAUACCGAUGGCGAAGGCAGCCCCCUGGGCCAAUACUGACGCUCAUGCACGAAAGCGUGGGGAGCAAACAGGAUUAGAUACCCGGGUAGUCCCA